AUAGCGACUAUCGUGGCAUAUCAAUAAGCGGAGGAAAAGAAACUAACAAGGAUUCCCUUAGUAACGGCGAGUGAAGCGGGAAGAGCUCAAAUUUGAAAUCUUCAAGGUUCUACCUUGACGAAUUGUAGUUUAUAGAAGUGUUUUCUGUUAGUGGAGUGGCAAAAGUUCUUUGGAAUAGGACAUCAUAGAGGGUGAGAAUCCCGUAUUUGGUCAUUCCUCCUAGCGUUGUGAUACACUUUCAACGAGUCGGAUUGUUUGGGAAUGCAGUCCAAAAUGGGUGGUAAAUUUCAUCUAAAGCUAAAUAUUGGCGAGAGACCGAUAGCGAACAAGUACCAGUGAGGGAAAGAUGAAAAGAACUUUGAAAAGAGAGUUAAACAGUACGUGAAAUUGUCAAAAGGGAAGCGUUUGACACCAGUGUUGUUUUUCCGAAAAUCAAUUACGAAUGUUUUAGUUUUUGAGGAGUUAUGACUUCAUCGGCUUGCUCCUUUCUUUAUGAAACUUUCUUAAUGCACUUUUCGGUUAACAAGUCAACAUCAAUUUCUUUUGUUGUAAAAGGGUAUGAGGAAGGUGGCUUUCUUUUCGGAGAAAGUGUUUAUAGCCUUGUGCCUCUGCAAUCGGAGAGAUUGAGGUCUGCAGCGUAGAUCCUUCGGGGUUAGAUACGUUUGUGCUAAGUUAUAGCUUUUCAUAGACAACUUGUUGACUAUGUUUAGUCUUGUAGCUCACUCGCUGACGCUAUUUUACCUACGCUUAGGAUGUUGAUAGUCACAGCGUGUAC
rnacentral:rRNA from 1 species